GACGAACGCUGGCGGCGUGCUUAACACAUGCAAGUCGAGCGGUAAGGCCCUUUCGGGGUACGACGAGCGGCGAACGGGUGAGUAACACGUGGGUGACCUGCCCUUAGCUCUGGGAUAAGCCUGGGAAACGUGGGUCGUAAUACCGGAUAUGACUCCAUGACGCAUGUUGUGGGGUGGAAAGCCUUGUGCGGCUAGGGAUGGGCCCGCGGCCUAUCAGCUUGUUGGUGGGGUGAUGGCCUACCAAGGCGACGACGGGUAGCCGGCCUGAGAGGGCGACCGGCCACACUGGGACUGAGACACGGCCCAGACUCCUACGGGAGGCAGCAGUGGGGAAUCUUGCGCAAUGGGCGAAAGCCUGACGCAGCGACGCCGCGUGAGGGAUGACGGCCUGGUG
rnacentral:rRNA from 1 species